rnacentral:rRNA from 1 species
UCAUUACACGAUCUCCGGCAGGCGGUCCCGAGACGGGACGCGUGACCGUGUUAUCAGAAACCCCACCGCGUGCCGCUCCAUGUUGCUUCCCCAGGUCAGCAGCCUUUUGCCUGCCCGGCACGCCGGAGGCGCCUGGGGGAGGGCCCACUCCAAUCUCGCUUUGUCCAGCGGAAGAGAAGUCUGACUUGGCCACAGUGCCAUCAGUAUUGACGUACUUAAAACUUUCAACAACGGAUCUCUUGGUUCUCGCAUCGAUGAAGAACGCAGCGAAAUGCGAUAAGUAAUGUGAAUUGCAGAAUUCAGUGAAUCAUCGAAUCUUUGAACGCACAUUGCGCCCUUUGGUAUUCCUUAGGGCAUGCCUGUUCGAGCGUCACUAACAACCUCGUCACUUCCACUGUGGUGUUGGCGGCGGUGGUCACCAGCACGGAGGAUCUUCUCCCCGUCUGCCCACUCCGCCGAAAUAAAUCANGCGGACAAACUGAUCUCAGCGACUGACUUAGUAAAAUCAAUCAGCCAGGAGUGAGGGUACGUUNCAGCCCAGCUUCGGACCCCCAUCCGUUGCCACGCAAACCAUGGGUUGACCUC